rnacentral:rRNA from 1 species
GGAUCAAUUUAUUGGUCGUGCUAUUGUACGUACUGGUAUUAUUGAUUCCUACCUUCUGACGAACCAUGAUGUCAUUAAUUUGGUGUGAUGGCGAUCCAGGACUUUUACCUUGAAAAAAUUAGAGUGUUUAAAGCAGGCAUACGCUUGAAUACAUUAGCAUGGAAUAAUAGAAUAGGACUU